rnacentral:rRNA from 1 species
CCCUUAGAUGUUCUGGGCCGCACGCGUGCUACACUGAGUGGAUCAGCGGGUCAGGUUGCGCGAAAGCGUUUCCUAAUCUUUAAAUCCGCUCGUGAUGGGGAUUGACGGUUGCAAUUUUCUGUCAUGAACGAGGAAUACCUUGUAAGCGCGGGUCAUCAUCCCGCGCUGAAUACGUCCCUGCCCUUUGUACACACCGCCCGUCGCUCCUACCGAUUAAGUGGUCCGGUGAGGCUUUGGGAUCUGAGCGGAAAGAGCGUUUCGCUGUUUCUGCUCGGAAAACUCAGUCGAACCUUAUCAUUUAGAGGAAGGAGAAGUCGUAACA